AGAGUUUGAUCCUGGCUCAGGACGAACGCUGGCGGCGUGCCUAAUACAUGCAAGUCGAGCGGACUUUAAAAGCUUGCUUUUAAAGUUAGCGGCGGACGGGUGAGUAACACGUGGGCAACCUGCCUGUAAGACUGGGAUAACUUCGGGAAACCGGAGCUAAUACCGGAUAAUCCUUUUCCUCUCAUGAGGAAAAGCUGAAAGACGGUUUACGCUGUCACUUACAGAUGGGCCCGCGGCGCAUUAGCUAGUUGGUGAGGUAACGGCUCACCAAGGCGACGAUGCGUAGCCGACCUGAGAGGGUGAUCGGCCACACUGGGACUGAGACACGGCCCAGACUCCUACGGGAGGCAGCAGUAGGGAAUCUUCCGCAAUGGACGAAAGUCUGACGGAGCAACGCCGCGUGAGUGAUGAAGGUUUUCGGAUCGUAAAACUCUGUUGUUAGGGAAGAACAAGUACAAGAGUAAC
rnacentral:rRNA from 1 species